rnacentral:rRNA from 1 species
UGAGUAACCUGCCCUUAACUCUGGGAUAAGCCUGGGAAACUGGGUCUAAUACCGGAUAUGACUCCUCAUCGCAUGGGUGGGGGGUGGAAAGCUUUAUUGUGGUUUUGGAUGGACUCGCGGCCUAUCAGCUUGUUGGUGAGGUAACGGCUCACCAAGGCGACGGACGGGUAGCCGGCCUGAGAGGGCGAUCGGCCACACUGGGACUGAGACACGGCCCAGCUCCGUACGGGGAGCAG